rnacentral:rRNA from 1 species
UACGUAGGGGGCAAGCGUUGUCCGGAAUUACUGGGCGUAAAGAGUGUGUAGGCGGUGCUCUAAGUUUGUCGUGAAAUCUCCCGGCUUAACUGGGAGGGUGCGGCGAAAACUGGAGUGCUAGAGGGUGGGAGAGGAAAGCGGAAUUCCUGGUGUAGCGGUGAAAUGCGUAGAUAUCAGGAGGAACACCUGCGGUGUAGACAGCUUUCUGGACCACUUCUGACGCUGAGACACGAAAGCGUGGGUAGCAAACAGG